rnacentral:rRNA from 1 species
GGGAGGCAGCAGUGAGGAAUAUUGGUCAAUGGGCGCAAGCCUGACGCCAUCCCGCGUGCAGGAUGACGGCCCUUGGGUUGUAAACUGCUUUUGACGGUAGUGUAUGAAUAAGGGUCGGCUAACUCCGUGCCAGCAGCCGCGGUAAUACGGAGGACCCGAGCGUUAUCCGGAUUCAUUGGGUUUAAAGGGUGCGUAGGCGGCCCGGUCAGUCAGCGGUGAAAUGCCCGCGCUUCACGCGGGAGCUGCCGUUGAUACUGCCGGGCUAGAAUCUUAGCGAGGCGGGCGGAAUGCGCAGUGUAGCGGUGAAAUGCAUAGAUAUUGCGCAGAACGCCGAUUGGGGAGCCAGCUCGCCAGCUGGGUAUUGACGCUGAACGAAAGCGUGGGGAGCAAACAGGAUUAGAUACCCUGGAAGUCCACGCCGUAAACGAUGAUAACUCGCUCUUGGUCCGACACAGUCUGGGGCUUAGCGAAAGGUUUAAAGUUACCACCUGGGGAGUACGAUCGCAAGGUUGAAACUCAAAGGAAUUGACGGGGGCCCGCACAAGCGGAGGAACAUGUGGUUUAAUUCGAUGAUACGCGAGGAACCUUACCUGGGCUUGAAUAAGAUUGUGAAGCAGUGGACGUUUUAACACAGGUGCUGCAUGGUUGUCGUCAGCUCGUGCCGUGAGGUGUCGGGUUAAGUCCCAUAACGAGCGCAACCCUUAUCGUUAGUUGCCAGCGUCAAGCCGGGGACUCUAGCGAGACUGCCACCGUAAGGUGUGAGGAAGGUGGGGAUGACGUCAAAUCAGCACGGCCCUUAUGUCCAGGGCUACACACGUGUUACAAUGGCCGGUACAAAGGGCAGCUACUUCGCGAGAAGAUGCUAAUCUCGAAAAGCGGUCUCAGUUCGGAUCGAAGUCUGCAACCCGACUUCGUGAAGCUGGAUUCGCUAGUAAUCGCAUAUCAGCAUGAUGCGGUGAAUACGUUCCCGGGCCUUGU